UGGACGAUUGUUCAAGAGGGUGACAUUUUGU
rnacentral:piRNA from 1 species